GCCAGACUGAAUUAUCAGGAAGACUAGAAAAUGCCACUGGUCAGUCUUGGCAUUGGUGUAAGACCGAGAGGAAAGCUCCUUGAUUGGAUCUUGGCUCUGUUGUGCACGCCUUGCCCAUGUGUUACUGGACCAGAGCAGGCUGAGCUUCACAUUCCUCAUCUGUGAAACAGAGCAUGAGCCUUUUUUGAGAAAACUAAAUGAGAUGGUGAUAUUACUGUAGCCAAGGAAAUGUCUGGCACACGAGCGCACAGACUUGACACUAUUUUAUGGCUGUCGUGGAUCCAAGAAGAAGACAUGAGCUUGGGAGCCCACUGCAUACACUGACCAUUCACUACCAUAGGCCAGACACACAUUCUCCCACCGAUGUGGGAUUUUGGUGGAGAGGAGCUUAGGCAAUGUGUUUUCAGCCUUCCCGAGAGACACUGCUCCCAAUACCUUGCUCUUGUUACUGAAGGCCAGAGCCUGGACCUUGCAGUUGUCAGCGUUUGUGUCCUCCUUGAGGAUGUGCUUUACAGCAUUGUGAGUGAUGUGAGCAUACACAGGGACCCGUGACACAUUGUGCCUCACAUCACUUUUGGUCAACACAUCAUCUGUCACCUCCUACAGUCCCGUAGAACCAUCACACAGCCAGACACUGCAUGUGAUGGAAAAGAUCCACUCCUUUGGGUCCAUCACCUCCCCCCGCCCCCAGGAUCCAGAGCAGGCAGUUGAUAGAUGGCAAGACUGCUGGGGUUGUCUCCUCCUGUGGCUAACAGUGUUCUAGAGGGAUUCAGCUCAAUAACACAGAUGCCACAGCCCUGCUGGGUCACAUCUCCAGGCUCUCAGUCCUUCAGAAUGGGGAUCUGGGUGAUCUGGCUUGUCUGGACGUCCACUACAAAUAGUGUGUUGCAUUUUGUUCCACACGCCACUUGCCUAUGAUUCAACCACUGCGAAGCAAACACUAUUAAGGGCCCCGAGUUGAAACUCUCUCUCCUUCAGAAGACUGGGAAGUUGCUGUGCUGCAUAACCAUGCAACAAUCGAGAACAGCUGGUUUCAUCCUGUAGCCUGACUUCCAGGUUCUUCAGGUAAUGCACUAAGGAUCUCUUCACUGGGGGAAGCCUUCUCCUUUUGUGAGGACCUAGGAAGAAGUGGAUUUUUGGGAGAGGCUGUGACACCAGGAAAGGGUUAUAACACGCCGGUGACGUGAUGAGCGGGCAAACCCCGGGAGACCCUUGCCAGGUGUGACUGAAUACGUGAAGAAAGUCGGGAGCAAAUGAAAGACCAGGCUUUGUGAAUUCAGUGAUACUUCCUGCACCAUAGACUCUGGAAUCUAAACCAGUUUCUCCCAUGUGGUUCAUGAAUUUCUGCAUAAAAGCUUUGAAAACAUUUCCCAAAAGUCCCCAGGAGCUUUCAUAACCACUAAUUGGCCUCUACUUUUUGGAAGUUUGGUGAUCUAGAAAGUUGGAAUGGAAACUGCCGUCCUGCUAUAAAACACCAAGGAUCCUGGGUAAAAUAGAACACUUUAAAAAUACUGUUGACCUUGCAAGACCUUGAAGAAAAUCCACAUGUUGCAAGAACAAAGAGGAAGGCAAAAUCCAGAGCAUGAAACCUACAAAUUCAGCCACAAACAGUAGCUGCCUUCAGGGAUACCAGGACCCUCCCCUGUGGGUUCUAACUCCCAAGCAAGGACCAGACCACUCAGAUACCUUGUGGACAUUUCGAAAAGGCACUCCACCCCAGUCCUUACCGGUUAAAAGGGGACUCUCAAGAAAGGGGGCCCUCCAUGCUUACUUGCCAGGGACUGUCCUCUCUGUGCUUGGAGUCUUUUCAUGACUAUUAAUAGCACUUGGUUCCCCUUCAGAAAUAUGUAGAUUAGAACGACAAAUUACAUUUCCCUCUGUUCAAAGGCUACUUAGUAAAAGGAUGGGCAAGGAAACAAAAAUAGCUUCCAGCAGCCACAGAGUCAAGGCAUGCCAUUUCCACUUUGUGUUGCACAGGGAUAAAAAAGAUUUUAAGUUAAUAAAAGCAUGCCCUCUAAAAGUUAAUAAAGAUGAGCCCUUCUUCCACAUGGGGUCAAAACACUGUAUGAGUAUCUGUCUGUAUAUAUUGUAUUUAAAAGCUGGAAAACUGAAGAGAGAAAAAUCACUCAUACUUUCUCAAUCCAAAUAAAAC
ensembl:lncRNA